rnacentral:rRNA from 1 species
UGCCAGCCGCCGCGGUAAUACGUAGGGUGCAAGCGUUGUCCGGAAUUAUUGGGCGUAAAGAGCUCGUAGGCGGUUUGUCGCGUCUGCUGUGAAAAUCCGAGGCUCAACCUCGGACCUGCAGUGGGUACGGGCAAACUAGAGUGCGGUAGGGGAGAUGGGAAUUCCUGGUGUAGCGGUGGAAUGCGCAGAUAUCAGGAGGAACACCGAUGGCGAAGGCACAUCUCUGGGCCGUAACUGACGCUGAGGAGCGAAAGCGUGGGGAGCGAACAGGAUUAGAUA